rnacentral:rRNA from 1 species
AGCAGCCGCGGUAAUUCCAGCUCCAAUAGCGUAUAUUAAAGUUGUUGCAGCUAAAAAGCUCGUAGUUGAAUUUCGGGAUCAAUACGUCGGUCGUGCCUUCGGUACGUACUGGCGUCAUUGGUUUCUCCCUUCUGACGAACCAUGAUGUCAUUAAUUUGGUGUUAUGGGAAGUUAGGACUGUUACUUUGAAAAAAUUAGAGUGUUUAAAGCAAGCUAACGCUUGAAUACAUUAGCAUGGAAUAAUGAAAUAGGACGUUUGAUUCUAUUUUGUUGGUUUCUAGGAUUGACGUAAUGAUUAAUAAGGAUAGUUGGGGGCAUUAGUAUUCAAUUGUCAGAGGUGAAAUUCUUGGAUUUAUUGAAGACUAACUACUGCGAAAGCAUUUGCCAAGGAUGUUUUCAUUAAUCAAGAACGAAAGUUAGGGGAUCGAAGACGAUCAGAUACCGUCGUAGUCUUAACCAUAAACUAUGCCGACUAGGGAUCGGAUGAUGUAAUUUUUUAAUGACUCAUUCGGCGCCUUAA